rnacentral:rRNA from 1 species
GACGUAGGGGGCGAGCGUUGUCCGGAUUUAUUGGGCGUAAAGCGUGCGUAGGCGGCUGCGCAAGUCGGGUGUGAAACCCCGGGGCUCAACCCCGGAACUGCAUCCGAUACUGCGUGGCUAGAGGUAGGUAGGGGAGAUCGGAAUUCCUGGUGUAGCGGUGAAAUGCGUAGAUAUCAGAAGGAACAUCAGUGGCGAAAGCGGCUUCCUGGUCCAGUACCGACGUUCAGGCACGAAAGCGUGGGUAGCAAACGGG